AGUGAACGCUGGCGGUAGGCCUAACACAUGCAAGUCGAACGGCAGCACAGUAAGAGCUUGCUCUUACGGGUGGCGAGUGGCGGACGGGUGAGGAAUAUAUCGGAAUCUACUUUUUCGUGGGGGUUAAGGUAGGGAAACUUACUCCAAUACCGCAUACGCCCUACGGGUGAAAGCGGGGGAUCUUCUGACCUUGUGCGAUUGAAUGAGCCGAUGUCGGAUUUGCUAGUGGGCGGGGUAAAGGCCCACCAAGGCGACGAUCCGUAGCUGGUCUGAGAGGAUGAUCAGCCACACUGGAACUGAGACACGGUCCAGACUCCUACGGGAGGCAGCAGUGGGGAAUAUUGGACAAUGGGCGCAAGCCUGAUCCAGCCAUACCGCGUGGGUGAAGAAGGCCUUCAGGUUGUAAAGCCCUUUUGUUGGGAAAGAAAAGCAGCAGGUUAAUACCCCGCUGUUCUGACGGUACCCAAAGAAUAAGCACCGGCUAACUUCGUG
rnacentral:rRNA from 1 species